GGGUUUCCACAACAUCCGUAUUCGCCAGACGAAGGUCCGCCCCCAUUUUCAACGGGAGCACGCUGAGCAAUGCGCAGCACGAACCCUGCUAGCAGAGCGAUAGAAAAAGCAGGUUGACCCCAUGCUGACCCCAGAGGAGCGCCAACUCAACGAUGCCGAACCUUUGCUACGAAAACCCCACCUACAAAUUCUUUGAACAAAUAAACUGAGGCGUUGGGUGUGGCCUCCCGGUCAUGCCCAAUCACACGAGGUGCUCCCUUUCGGUCUCAGUCAGACCACCUAUGAUGUAUUAAGACGUAUCAUUACGACCAAAACUUUAAUGUAACUUGACAAGCAAAUAGGGGGUAUAUGCCCCAAACCUCUGACUAACCAUGUCCCCACAUCAGUUUUUGGAAUGUAAACCAGUAACAGACGUAUUACCAACUGACCCAUCCUCUUACUCUUCUGGUCUAGAAUAAAGGGGUGGACAUUAAUGCCACAGUGUAACAAUCAUCUCCUUUGGAGAGAUUGACUCCUGUCUACUUGGAUAGGAAUGCCAUUGGAUUGGAUUGAGUUGACCCCCUUAUUCUUAAUAAAAUGGAUUGAUAUUUGUCAGAAACUGACUCAAUGUUUAACUGUGCAUUUUGCUUUGUUCUGUAUGUCAUCUGUUUAUUCUUUAUUGGAUUGUGUUACAGCUCUGAUUCAUUAUAUUCCAGUUCAGAUAAAUGGUGUAAAAUGUGAACAAACAAUAUAGUAUAGCUGAUCUAAAACUCCACACAAACUAGUUCUCUAUCUAAAGCUACAAUGACUGACAUGAUGACCACCAAGCCAACCCCACAUCCAUGAGUCAAUGAAGGACAUCUUCUUUCAAAGCCAGGCACAGUUGUAAAGGUUAAGCAGAGAUGAGGAGGUUGGGUAGUUAUAAUGAAUGAAGCAGAGAUGAGGAGGUUGGGUAGUUAUAAUGAAUGAAGCAGAGAUGAGGAGGUUGGGUAGUUAUAAUGAAUGAAGCAGAGAUGAGGAGGUUGGGUAGUUAUAAUGAAUGAAGCAGAGAUGAGGAGGUUGGGUAGUUAUAAUGAAUGAAGCAGAGAUGAGGAGGUUGGGUUGGGAAUGUGAGGUAUUGAAGCUUGAUUAACUUAGUUGUUACUUAGGUAUUACUUACACCAACAUAUAUUAUCAAUCCAUAGUAAAAUGGGUUGGUGGUCUUUUGAUAUUCAGCCCAACCUCAUCCUUCAGUCUGUGGCAUCUGACAUAACCGGCACCCAGAGCCUAUUCCAUGUGAUGUGAACUAUAUAAUUGAACUAAUGUACCAAAUGUACCAUUUAAGUGAAUGACUGCUACCUAAAAAAAUUGUAACAAAGUGAUGAGAAGUCCAUUAUUUUAAUGAAAGCAUGCAGAUUUGGUGUAUGAUGCUACCGUCUUUGUGUUGUUCCUGUUCUUUGCUUUUGAUAAGAUGGAAAUGUGACAGAUUAAAAUGGACAGUGUAAAUAUCUUUAGAAAAAAACAUGACUUCAAAAUAGACAUUUCUAGAGUGAAUUUGCAUCAGUGUAAUGGAAUAAUAACAAAAAAGAAGAAUACCUUGUGCUGUUCAGAGAGAGAGAACAUUUUCCUAACAUGGCUGAUUGAAAACGGACUGUUGUAAAAACCAGCACAAGAUGACACAAUUAACUUCUGACUGAAUGUAUUUUAGGUAGACGUUGAGACUCCAUUUCCUCUUCGAUAGUGCAUCACUCCCCUAGUAGAACCCCAAGGACUAACCUGUAAUCAGUAGACAAGCUACAUGUCCAAAACCUUCCUCAUUAUCUCACUGUAGUUUAACACUGAAUGUCUCUUUUCACUAUUUGCAGGUUUGAAUGAGAACAGUGGGAUGUCAAUCAUUGUUGUGGUGCAAUGGACUUCAGCAUUAUGGAACAUAGUGAUGUUGGCAAACAUGGUGAUAUUGGGUAACAGUUGCAUGUAAGGGAGGUACGCCGAGGACUGGACUAUUGCUCAGAUUGGGUGGGACCACAAUAUUUGCUCUAGCACACCUUAGUGAGUUAUUUUCAGUUUAUUGCUUCAAAUUCAAGUGUAAUCUUUAUUAGGGACAUGGCAGGUUUCAGGCAGGAUGAACAUAUAGACGCUGUAUAUAAACCAGUUGAAUGUUAGUCCACUAGGGAGAUGUUGCAUCUCACUGAUGCAUCUGUAACAGUUAGUAUGAUCAAUAUCAAAUCAAAUCAAAUCAAAUUUUAUUUGUCACAUACACAUGGUUAGCAGAUGUUAAUGCGAGUGUAGCGAAAUAUCAUUCACUGUAUAUAGAUAACAAGGGAUUGUCCCCUUUUCAAUGGCUGAUUGUUACCUUUUAAAACACCACCAGUCCUGAAACAUCCUUAGAGGUUCAUCAUUUAUUUAUAACUCAUGGCUAGGUUGUUCUGCUGUUGUGUACUCCAUGAAACCACUGGUGACACAAGGGAGUAAUUUAUUGAUCACAUCAGAGGAGAUGUGGCUGAUUUCACCCUCAAACCGUUCUGUUUUAUUAUUCAAACACUGCUUUGAAUAUGGGGAAGAUGAGUUCAAAUACUUGACCUCAGAGAUUUGAAUUUUCCAUGUAUUGCUUUUGGAUUGUAGGAAUCACAGGUUGUGGUUACUGCAUCAAGAUAAUUAGAGAGCUGAGGUAGUCUUUGUAUAAUUUGUACAGCUCUGUUUCGUGAAAAACGUAUGUUCACAGUUUAAGUCAGUUGAACCUUGUAUCGAUACUACUGAAACUAUAGAAGAGAAUAAGCUUGCCUGUGUUUCCCCAAAGACUCAAGGUUUUCCUACCAGCAUUUAGCAGAUGUAGAAUGGUGUAUACUGUAGUGACUGAACACACAUUUGUAUGUCCUCUCUUGAUUAAGAUACUUCUAUGUUGGCCUUCCUCCCCUCCCCAGCCAAUGAAAAUGUAAACAAUUAUAUGGAGAGUUUAAUUGCUGCAUUAUUGCCUUUUACAAUGCUGUGUUUUGGAUGUAAUUAUGUAUUUUUUAUUUCUAAGUAAUAAUCAAUUCGAUUGAGGGUCAUGUUUUCUCACUGUAUGAAAAAUGUAAUAGCUUGUAUAAGAAUACCUAUAGGCACCCUAAAGAGGUUAAGUGAUGUCUAACAGUUCAGAUACAGUAGACAUACUCUGUCAGUAAGUCUAUAACUAAAUUGUCCAUGGUGUGGCACCAAGCACAACUAUGAUCAAAUUAUUGCUCUGCCAGACACUGUUACUGACUGUACAGUAUAUAAUGCGAACUAAACCCAUUUUGACUAUACUCUGAUUGGAAUGAUACUGAUGACAUCACUGAGGGAGCUGAUCUUCAAAUCCAUUCAGAACUUGACCAAACACAUGCUUUGCUCUAGAAGAGGUCAGACAACUGACUAAUUUAACCAAUUGUCCCUGAGCUAUGUUGAGUGUAAUUCAUGUGCAAGAAAUCUGAGCAAUGGAGAUCUGAUUAAGCUAAUUAAAACUGUAAUAAAAUGACAAAUGACC